GGUGUUGUGGCUCAGAGGUAGAGCACUCUCCUGGCAUGCGUGAGGCACUGGGUUUGAUCCUCAGCACCA
rnacentral:tRNA from 1 species